rnacentral:rRNA from 1 species
GUGGAUUAGAUACCCUGGUAGUCCAUGCUGUAAACGAUGAGAACUGGGUGUUGUGGGUAUUGACCCCCGCGGUGCCGAAGCCAACGCGUUAAGUUCUCCGCCUGGGAAGUACGGCCGCAAGGCUAAAACUCAAAGGAAUUGACGGGGGCCCGCACAAGCGGUGGAGCAUGUGGUUUAAUUCGACGCAACGCGAAGAACCUUACCCGGACUCGAAAGUGCUGGAACCUGGCCGAAAGGUUGGGGUGCUCGCAAGAGAGCCAGUAUCCAGGUGCUGCACGGUCGUCGUCAACU